ACGAACGCUGGCGGCGUGCCUAAUACAUGCAAGUAGAACGCUGAAGGAGGAGCUUGCUUCUCCGGAUGAGUUGCGAACGGGUGAGUAACGCGUAGGUAACCUGCCUGGUAGCGGGGGAUAACUAUUGGAAACGAUAGCUAAUACCGCAUAAGAGUAGAUGUCGCAUGACAUUUGCUUAAAAGGUGCAACUGCACCACUACCAGAUGGACCUGCGUUGUAUUAGCUAGUUGGUGAGGUAACGGCUCACCAAGGCAACGAUACAUAGCCGACCUGAGAGGGUGAUCGGCCACACUGGGACUGGGACAACGCCCAGAAUCCUUAGGGAGGCAGCAGGAGGGAAUCUUCGGCAAAUGACGGAAGUCUUAACGAGCAACGCCGCGUGAGUGAAGAAGGGUUUCGGAUCGUAAAGCUCUGUUUUAAGAGAAGAACGAGUGUGAGAGUGGAAAGUUCACACUGUGACGGUAUCUUACCAGAAAGGGACGGCUAACUACGUG
rnacentral:rRNA from 1 species